CAACAGGGAUUGCCCUAGUAACGGCGAGUGAAGCGGCAACAGCUCAAAUUUGAAAUCUGGCUUUCGGGCCCGAGUUGUAAUUUGUAGAGGAUGACUUUGAUGCGGUGCCUUCCGAGUUCCCUGGAACGGGACGCCAUAGAGGGUGAGAGCCCCGUCUGGUUGGAUGCCAAAUCUCUGUAAGUCUCCUUCGACGAGUCGAGUAGUUUGGGAAUGCUGCUCUAAAUGGGAGGUAUAUGUCUUCUAAAGCUAAAUACCGGCCAGAGACCGAUAGCGCACAAGUAGAGUGAUCGAAAGAUGAAAAGCACUUUGAAAAGAGAGUUAAAAAGUACGUGAAAUUGUUGAAAGGGAAGCGUUUAUGACCAGACUUGGGCUUGGUUAAUCAUCUGGGGUUCUCCCCAGUGCACUUUUCCAGUCCAGGCCAGCAUCAGUUUUCGCCGGGGGAUAAAGACUUCGGGAAUGUGGCUCCUCUCGGGGAGUGUUAUAGCCCGUUGUGUAAUACCCUGGCGGGGACUGAGGUUCGCGCUUCUGCAAGGAU
rnacentral:rRNA from 1 species